GCUGGGUAAACAGUGUCACGAGUGCUUUCCACACAACAGAGUACAGGCAUCUCCGUCCUGUUGUGUAAACUGCAGAGUGGCAUGGCAGGAGGGACCAGGGCCUGGAGUGAGUCAGCUGACCGGGCUUUGAGUCUCAGGUCUCUGGGGAACAAUGGAGUGGCCCUGGACAUAUGUCUUUACCUGGGCCUAAGCUUUCUCAUUUUUACAAGGAAGGAUGUGGACUGGAUAACUCUGUGCACCCUCUUGACUCUAGUUCCUAUUUGAGAUGGAUAUUUUAUACAAGUAUCUCGGGGAAGAAUGUGAAUUGGAACCUCAUUUUGAAGGCACUGAGCCCCUGCCCCGAGGGGCACCCCACUGCUGAUAAAUUCUGUUAUCUUUGGCUACGUAAUUUGGGAACUAUCUUAAUGUGCAUGUGUGUGUGUUUUCUCCCUGCCUAGUCACAACUCAUCCAACACGUUACACCUGCCACCACCCUUCAUAGAUGAGGAAACCGGGGCGUGAUAGUUGACAAUGACAGACUUACUUAGUGAGGUUCCUUUGAGAGCUUUUGGAAGGUUUUCCCAGGCUUUCCUUAAUAAUGUUUUAAAUUCUUGGUUUUGAAGAUGUGAUGACUGUCUCGUUCCUCCCCUCACGUUUUUAGCUCAGGAGGCGACGUCACUGGUACGCAAUGUAUUUUUGUUGAGAGAAUGAUUUGCUUGCUUUAGAAAACGGCUAAUUGUUGGACUGUUUUACACAAAGGGGCAGUGACGCUAGAAGCAACGUAAACGACUUUCUCUGCUCACCCAACCAAAACCAAAACCCAAACCAGACGACCACACAGACACAUCGCACGGCUCCCCAGUCGUUUCUCCCUGUACUGGUCCAGUCAUGAUUCAAAGUACGAAGAGCGGCUAAACGUGUACCCUAAAGAGGCCAGCGGCGCCAUUUACAUAGUGUGACGUCAUGCAAACCAUGCUCGAGAGGAGGCGGCUUCACUGUGGCCACCUGGGGGGGAGAAAGGCCACGAGAAGCCCCAGCCCGGGCGGGGCUGCCACGCACAUGCACGCGUUUGACGCAGCCACUGGGGAUCUCACAGGUACGUGGCGGGUGUGAGAGCAAGCGAGCUAUACAAGGUCCGUCUACAUUACAAGGAGGAGCCAGCCCACGACCCCUUUUAAGUGGGCUUGUUGGAAGGGGUCCAUAUCGAAUCGGAAAUACCAUCCCCCGUGGAUGACAAAGGCAUGGAGCCACUGGGCGUGAAGGGGUCUGUGUCCGUGUCUGUCUCACCCUCGGCGAGGUACCGUUUCUCCCUCAUCCAGCUUGACCCCCCGCUCGGGCCAAACACAAAAUCGUCUCUGUCUUGGGAGAUGCUGAAGCCACUUGGAGAGCGUUCCAGCUCCUCGUGGUUGACAGACAUCAGGGACAGGGGGGUGUCACUGUCCCGGGUGAUGCUGCGUCUCUGCUGGGGGGAGACCCGGUCCGAGCAGGGGCUGUGCAGUUCAGCCUGGGAGUGGUAGCUCCCUCGGGAGUCGAGAAGAGUCAAGAUAGGCAGGACGGUGGGCCUUUCCGCAUAGGUGGUCGCCGAGGAGGAAAGGGUGGCGUGAACCUUUCCAGAACUGGGUGCCCCUCGGGACAGGUUCACGGGGUCGUGGGCAAAAACCCCGUAGGGGCCGGCCCUGUCAAUGGGCACCUGGUGGAUGCUGUAGGGAGCGCUGGGGGCGCCGGUCUCAGAGUCGUUACACAUGAUGGUUUUCAAAUCCGCUUCCCGGUGGUCCUCUCUCUUCUCUGCCUCAGCUGGCGAAGAGGUCCCCUUGGUCGGGCAGAAGUCGGUGACGUGCACCUGCAGCCGCUCCAUGUGCUGCAUAUGCAUGUCCACCAGGAAGUCCAGCUUCUUCCCCAUGUCGCGAACCUGGAAAACACAAGGAGCCGUGAAUCGCUGCCUUCUUCCCCACGUCGCGAACCUGGAAAACACAAGGAGCCGUGAAUCGCUGCUUUCUCCGGACCUGCGGGUAGUUUUACUGGUCGGGAGGAAAAACUAUAGCGUUUACUUCUCAGAAAGGAAGAGGGUUCUUGCAAGUCGUAAUCAUCAUAACAGCUAAUUAUUUUGUGCCUCUUGAUUUUGAGCCUUGCGCAUGGAUUCGUGCUAAUCUAAAAAAAAAAAAAACACACACAGGGCAAGGACUUCCCAGAAAGCCGGAAGCAGAGAGAUGGGUGGAGGACAAGUUUUACCCGAGGAGGAGGUGGCCUUGCUGCUGCGCUUGGGUCUAGGAGCGGGAGAUCUUGAUUUGCAAACAUCCCCUUACAGAAGCAUCUAGACUGUUUGUGUACAUUUCCCCUACCUGGUGAUGUAAGCCCCAAAGAUACAAGGGCAGUGGUUAGCAAGAAUUGAGCUCAGAACUGGAGACCCUGCCUAGGGGUCUUGGAGGCCAGGGGAAGAUACACUGAGAUAAGCUGCAUCUAUCUGUUCCUACCCACAAAAUUGAGAACGUAUCAAAAUCUUUGAGUGCACAGACACAAGUGUGCAUUCAUGUGUGCAUGGCAUGUUCUUUCCCUGACAGUUCAUAACUCACCAGGAAGCACUGCAGGCAGGUCUACCAUCCUCUCUUACAGAUGAAGACACAAAGCGUAGAACUAGGUCAUGGCUGAGUUGGUACCCAAGCCUUAACAAUAACUAAUACUUCUCUAGCAGUUAGUAUGCACUUUAAAGAUAUUAACUUAUUUAAUUUUCGUAACAGCCCUAUGAGGUGGAUACUAUUAUUCUCUCUAUUUUCCAGGUGAGGAAAUAGAGGCACAGAGAGAUGAAGUAACUCAUCAAACAUCACAGAGCAGGGACAUCUCAUGCUUACCGUGUUUACUGCAGGGAAGUGUGAAGUUUAACCAGCGGACUGCCAGGGAAGUCCUGAAGCUGAAUAUUAAGCUGCUCUUAGGAAGCUCUGUGUCAAGGUUAGUAACUGUGCCCAGAGUGUUUGAUUCCUUUAAAUUAUGUUCCUUGGCCUUUCCGUCUCGGACGACUGGUUGAGGAUGGAGUGGGGGAGGGGUUGUCUCAUCUCUGAAAUUCUACACAGUGGGGACCAAUAUUCCAAUAUUUCAUCUGUUUCAUUUAGUUAAGACUGGGAAACAGAUGUGAAAUCUGGAAAAUGAUGCAAAAGAUGCUAUUCGUAGGGAACAGGAUGGAGACGUGUGCUGCAUUUGCUCCUUGGCCAGGCACAGUUCAUAUCUGCCUAAAUUCCAGUUAGUUUCAAUAUUGCUCUACGUAGAAGAGACCUUUCAGGGCACUUAGCUAUUGCUUGAAACCAUUCAUGUCUGGCACUUUCUAGGCAGUUGGUUUUUCUCUCUAGGCUACUGACUCCUGCUAAGACCCUGGCCUGUCUUGGGCUGAGCAAUCUUGAAUUAAAGCACAUGUCAAAUACUGGUGGCCUGUGUGCUGAAUCCAAGCCCACCGGUGUUCUCCUUGGCUUGCACAGGGUUCUAAACAUUUAAGCCAUCUCAGAAAUGGGGAAUUGUACAUGAAAUCUGGAUAUGCAGCUUUUCUUGAGAAAUCAGACUCUCUGGAAACAGAGGAUCUUCAUUGGUAAAAUUAGCAACAGCAGAACAAAGUAACAAUUACCUCCUUGGGAUGGGGCACGUUCACCCCUUGCUAUUCUAUCCCCAGGACUGAGGCCAAAGAUUAGAUGCUGUAUAUUAUCCUCCUUACGUUCUCCCUUCUUUAAUAAGGAGCCUUAUUAUGAUAAGGUGCAUAACAUUUCUUAUGCCUACCUCCCGUCACUCAUGUUACCUGCCUUGAAGACACUGGGGAAUAAAGAAGUGUACACUUCUUUCACAGUGGACUUUCUAAAGCAGGCAUCCCCAACGCCCGGGCCACGGACCGCUACUGUUAGGAACCGGGCCGCACAGCAGGAGGUGAGCGGUGGGUUACAGCCGCUCCCCGUCGCUCGCAUUACCGCCUGAGCUCCGUCUCCGGUCAGUCUUACAGGGAAUGGCAACCUCACCCCACCGUGAAGAAGCCCAGCUGAGGUUUGGGGAAUGCUCUGUGGGCUUUGGCACCACACACACAGCCUGUCAGCCCAUGACCAUAGGCCCCACCUGGGAGAUUGCUGGGAUGGGUAGGUGAAUGCUUUCUGAGACUUCUUAUGUUUUGGAGUAGACGGAGGUCCAGGGGUGAAAAUCAUAUCUAUUCUGAAAGAGAGCACACAAAGAGAGGGGAUUAAAUUAAAAACAGCUUUACAUGAAAAGAGAAGAAAGCAAUUCAUUCUCUUCCUUCUGUAGUCAGCUGUGGGUUUGGAAUAUAAAGGAGAAGAGAAACAAGAGAGAGGAAGGGGGAAAGGGAAAGGAAGAGGUGACGAGAGAGAGAGAGAGAGAGAGAGAGACAGAGACAGAGACAGAGACAGAGACACAGAAAGAGAGUAAGAAUUUAUAAUCUCAAUGUAUCAUUAUCUUUUUUCGGUCCAGGGGUACCGGGAGCAUCUCUCUAUCCCAGGGGAGAGAGGCAGCCAAACCACUGAGACAGGGUGACAGUUGUGUCUUGUUAUUUCUUACAGGAAAUGUCAUGUGUGCUACAGCCUAUCUGGUCUUCCAGCUCUUUUAUUCCACCCAAAACACCUAGUUAGUUAGGGAGUUUUUCCUCCUAAACCCUAGCCUCUGUUUUCAGCUGUGCUCUCUUUUCUCUGCUGCUUUGCAGGCUUCUCCGACCAUUAGAGGGAUGAUCCAACACUGGCUCCCACACCUUGCUUCCAUUUCUGCUCAAGCCACUAGCUCCCUAUCUGCGCCACCCUGAGCACAACAGGAGACAAACGCCCCCCCACCCCCUCCCCUCAUCAAGUUGCACGGCUAGGGCAGGGGCCGGGUGUGGGAGCAGCCUUGAAGGCUUGUCACAGGCCUAGGACCGCUAAGACCACGCACCCAGAAGAAGCCAUGCCUCACUCUGUCUCUCUGCAAACCCAACCGCUCCUCCAGUGACCCCACCAUGUACUAAAUCACCCUUCCUUUCUCUCUGGCCUCCUGCAGUAUCAGCAUGGCUGGGGGCAUGUGAUUAGCCCACUUAGGCAGUCAACCUCCCGCUAAGACUCAGAAACUCCUGUGCCUGAUAAAUACCAAACAUGAUGACUGUGCAAAGGUCCACUCAAUGCACAUUAAGAGGGGCUGAUAUUUCUGGAGGCCGGUAUGUCCUAGACAUCAUGUUCCCUCCUUCCAUCUCUCAGAGAGACACAUUGCAUAAAUAACAGCACGUUAGGCUCAGAACUCGUUCACGUAUCCUUUUGCUCGGCAGCAUUGAGCACCGAUUGUGUGCCCGCCACUGUGCUGGGCUGUCACAGUUGGUAUUCCAUUUAUGGAUAAAGGAAGGUCACAAAUAAUAAGCAUUCUUCCAACCCAGCAGCAUCGUUAAUGGUCAACUCAUUCAACAUGAUGGUCCUAUUAACUCUGCAGGACAACCCAAUGGUGAAAUAUUCAGAUGAGAAAACUGAGGUCCAGAGAGGACCUGACUCAUGUCAAUCUGAAAUCUCACACAGGUCUGAGAAUGAGCCUCAGGGCUUUGGCUUCCUGAUGUCAGUUCUAUGACGUGACAUCAAAGUGUCCUUUAGUUGUUUUAAAUGAUUUUCUUUUUAAAAGGAUAUUUUUACAAUUCAUUGAAGAUUUGAUAAAUUUAAAAAGAAGAAAUAAAAUCACACAUGGACUCAUCACAUCAGUAGAGCUAUGGUAACCCCUUGGGGGAAGUCUUAUUUCUUUUCUUUAGGCUCCUGUAAGGGAGAGUGUGUAUGUGUUGUGUAUAUUUCCAAAUAAAUGUUACGUGUGUACAUUUUUGUAAUCACGGUAUAUAAAUAACAUAGUUAAUAUCAUCACAAGAUCUAGGUAGACUAUAUAUAAAUAUAAUCAUACAUAUGUCCAUAUAAGUAUCUAAGUACUAUAAGUAAUCAUAUUAUGCAUAUAUAUAUUCACUAAUCACAUAAAUUUUUAUCUCACUAUAUACAUUUUUAACAUGUCAUUUGAUGGCUGCAUAACUUUUUAAUGAGAGCAGGUACCAUUCUUUUCUUAAUCACUAUUUAUAGAUUUGAGGCAGUGUGGUAUGUUACAGAGAAUGGGAGUUUUGUAACCAGUUGGAUCUGGUUUGACUUCCAGCUCUGCCACCUACUAGCUGGGUAGUUUUGGGCAAAUCCAUCGUCCUAUGAGCUUCAGUUUCAUCACUGGUAAGAUGGCAGCUAUAAUGCAAUACUUAGGGGGUUAUAAGGGAUUAGAGACAUAAAUGUAGAGCACCAGGUGCCUAACAAAAAUGGAGGCAGUUACUGGGAAUUGGGAAUCAAUGCUGUUUCCAUAUUUUCACUAGUAUAAAUAACACUUGAUGAACUUUUAAUUGGGUGAAAAUUUAUAUUUAGAAUUAGUCAACUGGACUCAUUUUAGGUAAUCCCAAUUUUGUUGGCAACAUCCAAAGCAGCAUAGUCAGGGGCCAGUAGCACAGAUGCCUUUUUUCUCCCUGAGGCCUAAUCAGGGUGUUGAUCUUGGCUGUGUCAAUGUCAUAGAAAUUCUUCCCAGCCUGUCUGAUCUGGUGUUGGUUGGCCUUGACAUCCAUGUUUGAUGAAUAUGUUUGUUCUUAAAAUUUCUCCCCUGCACUGUGGAUUACUGAAUGCCUUUCACCCUCAGCACUAAGGUCUACCUGGCUCUGUUUAAUUCCUUAGCAGUCAGGAGAGCACCAUCCUUCCAGGUGUGCUGUCUUACCUCGUCUGAAGGUACUUUAUCCUGGAAAGCAUGUCAAGAUGUCCGGCGGAAUACUGCUCAAUCACAUCCUUCACGUCAUAAGGCCUCAAAGUCUCCUUGAAUUUUUUUUUAUAGAGACGGAAUUGUAGAAUUCUGCAAGGCAAAGUAGAGACAUUUGUACAUCAAGAGUGGACAGUAAAGGAAAUUAUGAUACAAGAUGAGCAAACUCUGGGGCGGAGGAGGAUAAAACAUCCAAAAAGAAACAACUUGAUGAGAAGUUUCAACUCUUGGUCCUGGUUCUACCUCUUGGAAACACACUGAAUGAGGCUGGCUGGCGUCUCUCCUUCAUGACUACCUCCUUUUACUCGUUUGAAUAAUAAAUUCAUAGUAACAA